rnacentral:rRNA from 1 species
AUUGAACGCUGGCGGCAGGCCUAACACAUGCAAGUCGAACGGUAACAGGAAGCAGCUUGCUGCUUUGCUGACGAGUGGCGGACGGGUGAGUAAUGUCUGGGAAACUGCCCGAUGGAGGGGGAUAACUACUGGAAACGGUAGCUAAUACCGCAUAACGUCGCAAGACCAAAGAGGGGGACCUUAGGGCCUCUUGCCAUCGGAUGUGCCCAGAUGGGAUUAGCUAGUAGGUGGGGUAACGGCUCACCUAGGCGACGAUCCCUAGCUGGUCUGAGAGGAUGACCAGCCACACUGGAACUGAGACACGGUCCAGACUCCUACGGGAGGCAGCAGUGGGGAAUAUUGCACAAUGGGCGCAAGCCUGAUGCAGCCAUGCCGCGUGUAUGAAGAAGGCCUUCGGGUUGUAAAGUACUUUCAGCGGGGAGGAAGGGAGUAAAGUUAAUACCUUUGCUCAUUGACGUUACCCGCAGAAGAAGCACCGGCUAACUCCGCG